rnacentral:tRNA from 1 species
UGGGAUGUGACUCAGUGGCAGAGUACUUGCCUAGCAAGUGCAAUUUCCUGGGUUCAAUCCCCAGUACCAG